rnacentral:rRNA from 1 species
AACUUAGCAGAGAUGCUUUGGUGCCUUCGGGAACUCUGAGACAGGUGCUGCAUGGCUGUCGUCAGCUCGUGUUGUGAAAUGUUGGGUUAAGUCCCGCAACGAGCGCAACCCUUAUCCUUUGUUGCCAGCGGUUAGGCCGGGAACUCAAAGGAGACUGCCAGUGAUAAACUGGAGGAAGGUGGGGAUGACCGUCAAGUCAUCAUGGCCUUUACGAGUAGGGCUACACACGUGCUACAAUGGCGCAUACAAAGAGAAGCGACCUCGCGAGAGCAAGCGGACCUCAUAAAGUGCGUCGUAGUCCGGAUUGGAGUCUGCAACUCGACUCCAUGAAGUCGGAAUCGCUAGUAAUCGUGGAUCAGAAUGCCACGGUGAAUACGUUCCCGGGCCUUGUACACACCGCCCGUCACACCAUGGGAGUGGGUUGCAAAAGAAGUAGGUAGCUUAACCUUCGGGAGGGCGCUUACCACUUUGUGAUUCAUGACUGGGGUGAAGUCGUAACAAGGUAAGCGUAGUGCU